rnacentral:rRNA from 1 species
UACGAAGGGGGCUAGCGUUGCUCGGAAUCACUGGGCGUAAAGCGCACGUAGGCGGAUUGUUAAGUCAGGGGUGAAAUCCUGGAGCUCAACUCCAGAACUGCCUUUGAUACUGGCGAUCUCGAGUCCGGGAGAGGUGAGUGGAACUGCGAGUGUAGAGGUGAAAUUCGUAGAUAUUCGGAGGAACACCAGUGGCGAAGGCGGCUCACUGGUCCAUUACUGACGCUGAGGUGCGAAAGCGUGGGGAGCGAACAGG